ACAAAAUGUAAGUUAAGAAAUUUAUUUAUUUUAUUGUUACGAAGUAAUUAACUUUAUUUUUGUAGGGGAAAACAUAAGAACAGAACGCAAAAUACGAUCAUUAUUGAAUUUAUGGAAAAAAAUCCAGAUAUCUUAAGAGGAUAUACGAAACGCAAUAAACCGACAACAGAUUCGUUAUGGCAGGAAUUAACUGAAUCCCUUAAUGCUGCAGGUCCUCCACACAAAGAUGUGAACGGGUGGAAAAAGGUUAUAACUGAGUGGAAGACCGAAAUCAAAAGAAAAUUAGCUCACAACAAAAUUGAGAGUCGGGCAACAGGAGGUGGUCCAUUUUCUUAAUAUCAGCUCGCUCCACACGAAGAAACUAUUGUGCGUCUUUGUGGCAUUUCUCAAACUAUAGAAGGCAUACCAGGCGUUUCUCUUGGCACCCAACCCCGUCAAUGAGAAUUUAAAUAUAACAAUUGCAGGGGUGAAUGUAGAUUUGUCUUCCUCAUCGCCAGAGCA